rnacentral:rRNA from 1 species
UGAAUACGAGAUGCUACGGCGUCGAAGCAGUGUAUGUCAGACUUCCAAGAAAAGCUCGCAAUGUCAUAAAUAAAGAAUGCCUGUACCAUAACCGACACAGGUGGGUAGGUAGAGUAUACUAAGGGGCGCGAGAUAACUCUCUCUAAGGAACUCGGCAAAAUAACUCCGUAACUUCGGGAGAAGGAGUGCCUUCUUUAAGAAGGUUGCAAUAACAAGAUCCAAGCAACUGUUUAUCAAAAACACAGGUCUCCGCUAAGUCGUAAGACGAUGUAUGGGGGCUGACGCCUGCCCAGUGCCAGAAGGUUAAAGAAGUUGGUUAGCUUUUGCGAAGCUGAUGACUGAAGCCCUGGUGAACGGCGGCCGUAACGAUAACGGUCCUAAGGUAGCGAAAUUCCUUGUCGGGUAAGUUCCGACCCGCACGAAAGGCGUAAUGAUUUGGAUACUGUCUCGGAGAGGGACUCGGUGAAAUAGACUUGUCUGUGAAGAUGCGGACUACCUGCACCAGGACAGAAAGACCCUAUGAAGCUUUACUGUAACUUGAAAUUGAAAUUGGACUUUAUUUGCGCAGUAUAGGUGGAAGGCGUUGAAAGUAAUCUUGCGGGAUUAGUGGAGCCAUCAGUGAGAUACCACUCCUAUAAUGUUAGAUUUCUAACUUUGGAUCAUGAUCUGGUCAAAGAACAGUUUCAGGCGGGCAGUUUGACUGGGGCGGUCGCCUCCCAAAUGGUAACGGAGGCGUACAAAGGUUUCCUCUGAACGGGUAGAAAUCGUAUCUAGAGUGUAAAGGCAUAAGGAAGCUUGACUGUGAGACCUACAAGUCGAGCAGGGACGAAAGUCGGUCUUAGUGAUCUGACGGUGCUGAGUGGAAAGGCCGUCACUCAACGGAUAAAAGUUACUCUAAGGAUAACAGGCUGAUCUCCCCCAAGAGUUCACAUCGACGGGGAGGUUUGGCACCUCGAUGUCGGCUCAUCGCAUCCUGGGGCGGUAGUACGUCCCAAGGGUUGGGCUGUUCGCCCAUGAAAGCGGUACGCGAGCUGGGUUCCGAACGUCGUGAGACAGUUCGGUCCAUAUCCGGUGUAGGCGUUAGAAUAUUGAGAGGAGCCUUCUUUAGUACGAGAGGACCGAGAAGGACAUACCUCUGGUGUACCAGUUAUCGUGCCAACGGUAAACGCUGGGUAGCUAUGUAUGGAGAGGAUAACCGCUGAAAGCAUCUAAGUGGGAAGCCCACCUCAAGAUGAGUAUUCC